rnacentral:rRNA from 1 species
UACGUAGGGGGGCAAGCGUUGUCCGGAAUCAUUGGGCGUAAAGCGCGCGUAGGCGGCCCGGUAAGUCCGUUGUAAAAGUCAAAGGCUCAACCUUUGAAAGCCGAUGGAUACUGCCGGGCUAGAAUCCGGAAGAGGCGAGUGGAAUUCCUGGUGUAGCGGUGGAAUGCGCAGAUAUCAGGAGGAACACCAACAGCGAAGGCAGCUCGCUGGGACGGUAUUGACGCUGAGGCGCGAAAGCGUGGGGAGCGAACAGG